CCCCCCCCCCCACCAAGCUGCCCACCAGAGGCCAAGCUGUACUUGGUGUUUGCCAACAUGCUGUAAUUUCCAGCCUGGUUGCUGUAGCCACAGAGGAAUUUUCAAGGACAAGAACCAGUGCUGGUAAAACUGUGGUCUCUGUGGUUUUCCAUACCGGCUCUCGGCAAGGAUUUUCAAGAAAGGAAUACCAUCUCCAAAUCAUGAUGUGUCAAUAAGCUCCAGUUAGCUGCGGCCUUUUCCCCAGGCGGUAGUCCUGCAAUCUGAAUCCAGGAGAUGCAGCUCUGAAUCCAAUAUUUCAGAAGAAUGAAGAUGAAGCAGACCCAGGAGGAACUGUCUGUUGAAGACCCC